UGCAAGUCGAGCGGACAGAUAAGGAGCUUGCUCCUUUGACGUUAGCGGCGGACGGGUGAGUAACACGUGGGCAACCUGCCCCUUAGACUGGGAUAACUCCGGGAAACCGGAGCUAAUACCGGAUAAUCCCUUUCUCCACCUGGAGAGAGGGUGAAAGAUGGCUUCGGCUAUCACUAAGGGAUGGGCCCGCGGCGCAUUAGCUAGUUGGUAAGGUAACGGCUUACCAAGGCAACGAUGCGUAGCCGACCUGAGAGGGUGAUCGGCCACACUGGGACUGAGACACGGCCCAGACUCCUACGGGAGGCAGCAGUAGGGAAUCUUCCGCAAUGGACGAAAGUCUGACGGAGCAACGCCGCGUGAGUGAGGAAGGCCUUCGGGUCGUAAAGCUCUGUUGUGAGGGAAGAAGCGGUACCGUUCGAAUAGGGCGGUACCUUGACGGUACCUCACCAGAAAGCCACGGCUAACUACGUGCCAGCAGCCGCGGUAAUACGUAGGUGGCAAGCGUUGUCCGGAAUUAUUGGGCGUAAAGCGCGCGCAGGCGGCUUCUUAAGUCUGAUGUGAAAUCUCGGGGCUCAACCCCGAGCGGCCAUUGGAAACUGGGGAGCUUGAGUGCAGAAGAGGAGAGUGGAAUUCCACGUGUAGCGGUGAAAUGCGUAGAGAUGUGGAGGAACACCAGUGGCGAAGGCGACUCUCUGGUCUGUAACUGACGCUGAGGCGCGAAAGCGUGGGGAGCAAACAGGAUUAGAUACUCUGGUAGUCCACGCCGUAAACGAUGAGUGCUAGGUGUUAGGGGUUUCGAUGCCCGUAGUGCCGAAGUUAACACAUUAAGCACUCCGCCUGGGGAGUACGGCCGCAAGGCUGAAACUCAGAGGAAUUGACGGGGACCCGCACAAGCAGUGGAGCAUGUGGUUUAAUUCGAAGCAACGCGAAGAACCUUACCAGGUCUUGACAUCCUUUGACCACCCAAGAGAUUGGGCUUCCUCUUCGGGGGCAAAGUGAC
rnacentral:rRNA from 1 species